AACUGAGUUCCUUUAUAGAGAGCAAAAAUUCCACAGGACAUGAGUUCUAGGGUGCAAAGGUUGAUGCAGCUAUUGUUAGAUUUAAACUUAAGUUAAUUUCAGAUUAUCCACCAGUAAUAUCCGCCAAAAGCUUCUUUUCAAUGUUCUUCUCAACAACCCACAGAUUUUUUAUAGAAUUUUUGG